AGGGCCCUGGAAGCAGAAUCAAUUGACCCAGAAUUGUACAGGUGCUGGGUGGCGCAUCGGAUCUGAGUGCAAAUUCUGACUGCUAUUUAGCACCCUUAGGGGUAGAGCAAGCCACUUCCUCCUCUGUUCCUCUAGUUAGCCCCUGGGUAAAAACAAGGGGGGUCGGCUAGAUCAGACCACCCCUGAGCCUCUGGAAAUGAGGGAGUCAUGAUUCAAACCCAGGUCCUUGGCUCCAGACCUAGGCAGGGCUGAUCAAAGGAAGGUGCUCUGGACUUGGAAAUGGAGGAUCUGGAUUCAAAUCAUCUCAACUCCCAGGACCUCAGUUUCCUUCUCUGUAAUAAUAGCUGAUGGCCCCUUAUUAAUUAAUAAGAAGAACAGAUAAUUCUAGAGCUAUCUAAAGUCUGUGCAGCCUUUUAGAUUCAUUGUCUCCUUCAGACCUCAUGUCUACCCUAGCAGGUGAGGAAACAGAGGUGCCGAGAGCUGAUGUGACUUAUCUCCUAUCACACUGCUAAUAAGUCUCAAAGGCGGGAUUUGAACCCAGAACCUCCUAACACCAAAUCUAGUGUUCUUGCUACUACAUACCUGGACACCUCAAGGAGGAGGAAGAGGAGGAGCAGAGGUGAAGAAGGAGAAAGAAGAGAGAAGGAAGAAGGAAGAGGAGAAAGAGAAACCCCUUCUUUGCGUUCCAUUGGGCAGAAGAGAAGCCAGCGCUCCAGCGGAGAUUCUAUAGCUGCCCUGGAGGGAGGCGCCCCAGCAGCGCAAAGAGAAAAGAGGGAGGGUCUAUAGAGAGGGGUCAUGCAAUUGAGGGGUGUCCCCCCAGUAGAUCAGAGAGAAAAGGAGGGUCUAGAGAGGGGUCACGCAGUUGAGGGGUGGCCUCCCCCAGCAGAGCAGGGAGAAAAAAAGGAGGGUCUAGAGACAGGUCACGCAAUUGGGGGAGUGGUCCCCUAGGAGAGCAGAGAGAAAAGAGGGAGGGUCUAGAGAAGAGUCACGCAAUUGGGGGGGUGGUCCCCCAGCACAGCAGAGAGAAAAGAGGGAGAGUCUAGAGAGGAGUCACGCAAUCCCGAGAAGAUGAGGCAGGCGAGCAGGACCUGAGGGAGCCGUGCGGGACAGCAGGUAGGUGAGGGGUUACCCCCCCCAACACACCCUCAGCCUUAGGAGGAACAGAAACCGAAACCAAAAGGCCUGAGAAACCAGCUCCAAGCCCACUUUCAGUUUUGCAGGACCAGACACAGAGAAUUAUAAUGGAAAAAAUCGAAAAUUCUCUGCUCAUGAGACAGUCUUGGCUUGAAGAUCUGAACAUGGGGACAUGGGAACACGCGUCCAGCUUCUCCUGAGCCCCGAUUCCUCUCGUGCCUCCAGAGGGCGCUGUUUGAGGGAAAGGCUCGAUGAAUACUGGCUGAUUGAUUGGCCGAGUCGAAUGGCAAAAGCAGUCUGGGCUGGCCGCAUCCCUCCCCUCCCCCCUUCAGCGCUCACCUGGAGCCUGCUACGGAUGCAGGAGCUGGGAGCUAGGAGCUCUCCGCUGGAGAGGAAGGGGUAGACAGGGACUGAGCAAAGGCAUCUAGGGCUGGGAUUGGAGAGAGGCCAGAGACCAUCUCAUUUUACAGAGAGGGAAACUGAGGCCCAGAGAGACCAGGCACUCGUCCAAGUGAUGAGGAUGCAAAGAAGGCAGAGCUCCUGCCCUCAGGGAGCUCCCAGUCUAAUGGGGGAGACAGCGUGCAAAGCUCAAUACCAACUGCAGCCGGGAUGAGCUGGAGAGAACACAGAAGGAAGGCAGCGACAUGAGGGAGGACCAGGAGGCGCUUCUUGUAGAAGAUGGGAUUUGGGGUGAGACGUGAAGGAAGCCCGACAACGGGGAGGUGAAGACCCUUUGCUUGUGCAAAUAGCUCCACUCCCUUACAGAUACCCAAGAAGGGUCUCAAGGGCCCAAAAAAACCAUCUCCCUCUUGUCUCUCAGUCACUGGCCACCCUGUGCAUCACCCAGCUAGGGGGUGUUGAGCAGCAGACCCAGGGCUCCGCCCGCUCUUCUAGCCGUGGCUGGACAAGGCCGUGGAGGGAGAGGCCAUGAUGCUCUCCAAGCAGGAGUCCGCCACCUUCACCAACAGGACGGCAGGUCCCACUCCUGGCACCCUGGAUGCCGGUUAUGUGGUACAAAUCAAGCUGUUCAAGGACCUCCUCCCCAGACCUCUCCAAAGGGACUUUGCCCCCAUCAUGUCCCAGGCCACUCAGACAUUAACAGGGGUCAGCCUCUGGCUGCAUUGUUUGGACGGCUCCUCAGCCUUCCAGUUAAUCCACAAGCAUUCAUUAAUUGCCUGGUGCACUGGGCAUAGACAGUCCCUGCCCUCAAGGAGCCCAGAAGAGAUAACUUGGGCCCAUAGAGAUAUAUAAAAAUAGAUAAUAAUAAU